UGAAUUUCAAAGCAAAAACGUGGAUAUGAACCGCAACCUUAAACUACAAUUUUUUUAAUAUAUAGUAUAAAAUAGGCGACUGUAACUGACAGAAUAAAUUACCUUUAAUUAAAUUAAACCAUCACUGAAGCGACACCCACUUAAAUGUAGUUGGUGGAUUGCUUCAAGGAAAUGUGUGGGAAUUAAGAUGAUCAUUCUGUAUACCAAGCUUAACACAACAAUGUAUAACUUGCAUUAAAGAUUAAAGAAUUGUACGUAGUGCAUCAAACAUGGCUGUGAGUCUAAGCUUAAUUAUAGUGUUAUCUGGGCUAUCAGUUACUCUUUAUGUGAUAUCUGCCAUUUUACUGGUACUACAAUAUAAGCACAUUCAAAAGCUAAUAGCAAAAGGAAAAGCAGCUUCGUCGAUGCAAGUGAAAGUACAAAAAGAAAUAUUGUAGAGACGCAAGAACAACAGAAUACAACAUAUGAAAAUACUUCUUCAAAACAACAAUACAUGGAUCUUAACACAGGACAAGAAACGUCAUUUAAUCUUGGAAGUGGACCAAUGGAAGAAACAUAUACUUCAAUGAGUGGGACUGAAGAUAAAAAUGAAUACGAAAUAUAAACCUGAUUUU